AGAAACUUAGGAUAAAAUUAAACCAAGAGCCUUCAAAGCUUAAAAUAUGAGUUAACCCUCAUAGUUUCU
rnacentral:tRNA from 1 species